AGUGAACGCUGGCGGUAGGCCUAACACAUGCGAGUCGAACGGCAGCACAGUAAGAGCUUGCUCUUGCGGGUGGCGGGUGGCGGGCGGGUUAGGAAUACACCGGACUCUACUUUUUGGUUGGGGCGAAGGAAGGCGGAUUAAUGCUACAACCGAAUCCGGCCUAAGGGUGAAAGCAGGGGGGCUUCGGACCUUGCGGGUUUGCCUGAGGCGAUGUCGGAUUAGCUAGUUGGUGGGGUAAAGGCCCACCAAGGCGACGAUCCGUAGCUGGUCUGAGAGGAUGACCAGCCACACUGGGACUGAGACACGGCCCAGACUCCUACGGGAGGCAGCAGUGGGGAAUUUUGGACAAUGGGCGAAAGCCUGAUCCAGCAAUGCCGCGUGGGUGAAGAAGGCCUUCGGGUUGUAAAGCACUUUUGUCCGGAAAGAAAACCAGGACGCUAAUACAGUCGGGUGAUGACGGUACCGGAAGAAUAAGCACCGGCUAACUACGUG
rnacentral:rRNA from 1 species